AAGGGUUUAGCUCAGUGGUAGAGUGCAUGCUUAGCAAGCACAAGGUCCUAGGUUCAAUUCCCAGUACCUCCA
rnacentral:tRNA from 1 species